GGCCAGUCCAAAUGCAGGGGUGUUUUCAACUAAUUGAUCACAACCAGUUACAGAUUUCUUUGUUCCUUCUCCACUUCUACUGCUUUACUUGACUACUGUUUA
ensembl:misc_RNA Y_RNA Y RNA